CCCCCCACUUUUGGCUUAGCGCCCCCCCCCCACUUUGACAACCGUUACGCGGACCCUGAUGAUGAUGAUUACACGCCAGAUGAAGGCCUACUUUAUAUCGCAUACAUUCAUUCGGAAGCUUCGUUAUUACGAAGGUUCGGAUAUUCCGAAGUGUAACCACUUUAUAUCUCCCCCCCCAAAAAAAAAAAAUCGAGGUAGAUGAAAUACUUUUCACAAUAGACUUAACUUAAGCCAAUAUGCAGAAUAUCAUAAGGUGAACGAUAAUCCAACUUAGUUAGUAUAAAACAGGCACAUUAUAUAGUCAUAUUUAAAUCUCUCAUUUUUAUACAUCCAAUUGUUAUUCUCUUGUCGAUUACUAACUCAAUGUUGCUAUUGCAGUUAUUAAUUAUUAAGUGCAUACACUGUUUAAAAUAAUUCAAACAACGAUGUUUACUAUGUGAUUCGCACAGUAGUUAUUCAAACAGUUUUUAACGAGUCUUUAAAAUCAUAAACAACCAUGUUUAAAUUACUGAUAAUUAAAUAGCUGAAUUUAAAAUUAGUUGUUUAAGAGCUUAAACACUUGUUUAAAAUGUUUAGACAACUACUGUGCGAUUCACAUAGUAAACAGCGUGUUUAAAUUAUUUUUAACAGUGCAUAUAGGUCCUAUCGAUAUAUGUUUCUUUUAUAAAGCAGCACAUAUAAAAAAGUUGAUAUUUACAUUUUCGUAUACAUAAAACGCUAAACAUAUUCAACUUCAUUAUCAUACUCUACUUAAUACUGAGAAAUAAAUAAAUAAGGAAUUGCAUGAUUAGGAAAUACUGAUCAAGCAUUUUGUGGAAUGGGGUAGCCCAUCCAGUCCUCCAUUUCACUCAGUAUGCCCUGACCAUCUUUCCAUUGUCCUCUGACCGAUGUUUGGACUUCCUUGCUUGAUUCCACGGAAGUCCACAUCACAACAUACGAAUCCGGUGUUUUGGUCACGUGAUACAAUUGGAAUGGUUUAUUCAUUUCGAUUGAUUUGUUUGAAUAAAAACACAUUUAUUUCCUCAAAAAAAAAAUAUUGCUAUAAGUAGGUGAUAAAGUUCAGUCCACGCACAAUCACCGCAUGCCGAGGGCACCGUUGCAUCAACCUAUCGCAAUCUAUUAGAACUUUUAGAUUAAUGAGAGGUUAUAUUGAAACUUUGAGAAUUCAAUGGCCCGUAUUCUGAACUCGGGUUUAAAUUAAACCCUGGUUUAAAGUUGUGGUUUAACUAUGGAGAGUCAAUUGGAGCACAAAUCCCUAACAGUACACAUCCAACGUACUAACUCAUGUGGCACACAAAAUUGUUCAUAAUUGUCUGGGAAUGAUGACUAAAGCAAUUUUCUUCAUUAUGAAAACAAAAGGAAACAAAAUAGUAAACAUAAGAAAUAUACAAUACAAACAGAAUUUUUGAACUUUUGGCUUCCCAUAAUUUUAGCACAAAGUUAAACCGUGGUCUAAAUUAAACCUGACUUCAGAAUACGGACCAAUUACUACUACUAUUAGUGGGCAAACUCAAGAUUAUCAUGGUAUACUGUAUACAAUUUUCAUUAAAGUUAACAAAUAUUUUUGCACCAUUAAAAGAAGCUAAAACCCCAGAUCAAUGCUUGCUCCUGUGUAAGAAGUCCCCUGGAAGAAUACUCGGUUCUGAAAGGGUACUUUUUUUAAAUCCACACGAAUCAUCACCGAUUUUGCUUUUUCACCUGAAAGUCUUUUUUUAUUAAUCAUUAUUUGUCCAAUCGUACGCUGAUCGCAUCCAAAUUAUAGUCCGACCGUAGUCAGCCUGUAACGCGUUCGGUUUCCAAGGUGCAAGGUUAUUUUCAAGGCUGUUAUUUUUUUACUCAAAGGUCU